UAGGUAACUCCGCCUAUGUCAUCCUAGGUUUAGUAAAUGACAUAGCCGGUCCCAAGCCCGGAAAAAGGAGGGGAACAUC
rnacentral:ribozyme from 2 species